AACCUUAUGGACCUGCGGGCGUAUACCUGCGGAGGGAUCAUUAAAAAGAGUGUGUACCCCCCUGUAAAAUGGGUGGGUUACCUCCCGUCCUUUGUUGACCUCUUAGGAGGUUAUUUUGAACUUUUCUGCUUCGGUGGGGUUAAACCUACCGGAACACCCUCAAAUUCUGAUCAUUUAAAAAUUGUUCAGUCCGAUUUUUGUUAAUAAAAACAAAAAACUUUUAGCAAUGGAUCUCAGAUC
rnacentral:misc_RNA from 1 species